rnacentral:misc_RNA from 1 species
AACGCACAUUGCGCCCAUCAGUAUUCUGUUGGGCAUGCCUGUUCGAGCGUCAUUUCCACCUUCAAGCCCUAGCUGCUUGGUGUUGGGGUGCUCUACAGCUCUGCUGUAGGCCCCGAAAAUCAGUGGCGGUCUCGCUAGGACCCCGAGCGUAGUAGAUUUCUUUCUCGCUUAGGGGAGCCGAGCGGGUUUCCAGCCGUUAAACCCCCCAAUUUUUACAAGGUUGACCUCGGAUCAGGUAGGAAUACCCGCUGAACUUAA